rnacentral:lncRNA from 1 species
UCUUGGUAAAUGAACCCCCCACAUUUUAAAGUUGCUGAUCACCUCAAAAGAAAACACAAGUCACGCUCUUCAUGAGUUACUGGUUAAGGGCCCAUGAGUCUGUUCUUCGCCUCUACAGUGGUCGUUAGCUGUGUCAGGUGGGCUCCUUCUCUUGUCUUAUGGACUCUGAAGUAUGAAGAACCCCAAACUUUCAGUUCUGUGUAUGCACUUUCCCUGGGGUGGAUGCAGUUUUGUCUGUCAGCAUUUUCAGUGGAUCAUGGCUGGUCUCCGCCUGGAACACUGCAGAGACCCGGCAGAGAAUUCUCAUUUGGUGGCUGUGCUUGCAGAGGCAGAUGUGGUCUCGUGUCUCCAGAAGUAUUCUUUCUAGCCUCUGAUUUCUCAAGAGGAGAGAGAAAGACUUGAAUAUGAAAGAAAGGAAGGAAGGGAGGAAAAAAAGAAGAAAGAAAGUGUUUUCAUCUUAUUGUGAACAACUGACUGUGAAAAAGGAAAUGUAGUGUGUAGUGUGUAUUCGAUGCCCUCA